CCGAUCUGAGAUGAAAAGGGAAUACGGUGCGGUAACCGUCAAAGGCUGCCAAUUCCGUGACUGCCCCCGCAACUGUAAGCGGCGAGCAAACCCGAUGAUCACCACUGGACGCAAGUCUGGGAAGGAUCGGGCGCGCUGAGACCCGCGAGUCAGGAGACCUGCCAUGUCACUUUA
rnacentral:ncRNA from 1 species